AACUCAUUAAGUACUUUCCUAUCGCCCAAUGAGAACUUGAGAGUACAAAGUUCCAGCAAUCAAUUACUUUUCCUUCUACAAAUGCCAACUUCUCAUUUUUGAUCUUCAUCAGAUAUAUUUUCCUUUAUUUUGGAGCUUGAAAAUAGAACUGUUUAGAUAAUGGAUAUUAUUAUAAAGACUAAGCUGUUAUAUUAUAAAGUCAGGAGAUUAUUGACUAGCCAACAGUCAACAAUUAGCGAUGUAUCAGGAUGAUCUAUGACGUAUAGGAAAGGUGUAAGCAUGAG